GAGUCUAGCUUCUUCAGCCCUCCUAUGUGGUCCCGGGGAAUCCAAUCUCAAGAGUGAGCAGCGACAUUCUCCACCAUUCUCAGCUAUUGCUGGACUACCCAGACCAUAGAGUGUGGUGCUGGAGGACAGGCCCUGCUGCCAACGGCGUGGAAGCCACGAGAGCACGAGGUCUUCUGUCACAGAAUAUAGAAUGCCUGCAGGUUCUGUGAGCCAUUCUGAGAAAAACCUGCCCCCAGAGAACUGCACACAUGUUGUGCCAGGUUCUCGGAAUCCCAGAGACUGACCCAAGGAGUCGACACUUCUGAGGCAAAAGCAAAAGGUGGAAAACAACUGGCUGGAAAGUUCUGAGCUGCAUGCCUAACCUGAAACACUAACAGAACUUCCGAGGCGAGGCUGCGCAGAGCGCUUGUCCUCGAGCGCCUCCUAACGGCAAGGGAACAGCAAAACCCAGCCUCGAAACGUUUCCACUUGACCUUUAGAGCCAACAAGCCAUGACUUGGUUAGUCUACUCAUCAAGUCUACUCAGGGGAGUAAUUCAAACCCGAUUCCAUCCCCUCUCCCUCACUGAGCAGCCUCUCCAGAAGGAGCAGUUUGUUCAUUGGGGACAGAGGGAUAGAGCACAUGCUAAGCAGUGCCACCUAGGCACCCUGGGCUCUACCAGCGCCUUUCAAACACAGCAGGAAGUGCAGUGUGCUAAAGUUCCAAUCGUUACCCUUCUCUCUUGUCCAACUGCUGUCCCAUGAGCAAACCCUGAGAGCAGCUCCUGGCUUCUGGGAA